UACGUAGGGGCCUAGCGUUGUCCGGAAUCAUUGGGCGUAAAGAGCUCGUAGGCGGUUCAGCAAGUCACGUGUGAAAUCUCCACGCUUAACGUGGAGGCGCCACGUGAAACUGCCGUGACUCGAGUCCGGUAGGGGAGUGUGGAAUUCCCGGUGUAGCGGUGAAAUGCGCAGAUAUCGGGAGGAACACCAGUAGCGAAGGCGGCACUCUGGGCCGGUACUGACGCUGAGGAGCGAAAGCGUGGGGAGCGAACAGG
rnacentral:rRNA from 1 species